CUACGGGCGGCAGCAGUGGGGAAUAUUGCACAAUGGAGGAAACUCUGAUGCAGCAACGCCGCGUGGAGGAUGACACUUUUCGGAGCGUAAACUCCUUUUAUAUGGGAAGAAGAUGACGGUACUAUAUGAAUAAGCGCCGGCUAACUCCGUGCCAGCAGCCGCGGUAAUACGGAGGGCGCAAGCGUUACUCGGAAUCACUGGGCGUAAAGAGCGUGUAGGCGGAUUAAAAAGUCAGAAGUGAAAUCCUAUAGCUUAACUAUAGAACUGCUUCUGAAACUCUUAAUCUAGAAUAUGGGAGAGGUAGAUGGAAUUUCUGGUGUAGGGGAAAAAUCCGUAGAGAUCAGAAGGAAUACCGAUUGCGAAGGCGAUCUACUAGAACAUUAUUGACGCUGAGACGCGAAAGCGUGGGGAGCAAACAGGAUUAGAUACCCUCGUAGUC
rnacentral:rRNA from 1 species